rnacentral:rRNA from 1 species
GAUAUAAUAGGAUGAGUUUUAUUUUUAAUUAAAUAUUACUUCAUAUUUUUAUUAUAUCAUCAUCGAAAAGAUUAUAUUUUGGUCAUUUAUUUGUCUAGUAUAAGAUUUUCGUCAUUUACUGUGAGUAAAAUAGAGUGUUCAAAGCAGGCUUAAGCUGUUGAAUAUAUUAGCAUGGAAUAAUAACAUAAGACCUUGGUCUUAAUAUUUUGUUGGUUUAUUUAUCAAGGUA